rnacentral:rRNA from 1 species
AUGCCCGAGACAGAUGAGCAGAAGGUGGUCCGGCUGCAGGCACUUGUGGCGUUUGGCAAGGCGGCGCACGCGGAAGCCAUGCGCUACAGCGACAUGGAGGAGGAGGAGGUGGUGGAGGAGUACCGGCGGGCGGGCAAGCUGCACACCUAUGACCAGGACAAGGAGUGGAAGAAGCGUUUUGCCAGGGUUGCCAAACUCCACCCGUGUCACUGGGGCAAGCAAAUGGUCGCAAAGAUCGAAGAGUAUAUGUAUUACCUUGAAGAAGACGAGGACGACUUCAAGAUGGGGCUUUAUUCAUUAUUAAUCGAUGAUGAAUCUUAG